ACAUUCUCUUCAACACUUGGUGUUUUCAGACUUUUUAAUUUUUUAAUUUUUCCUUUGCCUUUUUGGUCUAGAGUUAAAUGUCAUUUUUUUUUAAUAAAAUCAUUUUAAAAUUUUAGAUGUAUUCAACUGAAAAUGUAAGUAGAAUAAGUUGAGUUCUACAUUAAGUUAGUAAUUGUAAUUAAUUAUUGCAUUAAUUUAAAUUGGCCUGCAUAAAUUAAACAAGUAUUUAUCAAUUGUGUAUUAUGUAAUAGAUACUGUCAGGAAUAUAAAAAAUCUUUUAAAUACAUAUGCAGAUUUUAACUUUUGAAUUUUACUAAGAUAGGGUAUAAUUUGAAAAUGGUAUUUAAAGGCAAAUUUAAAACUUACAUUAAACUGAAAAAGUCCUGCUAUGUAUAAAACACAUUUACCUCAC